UACGUAGGGUGCGAGCGUUAAUCGGAUUUACUGGGCGUAAAGCGAGCGCAGGUGGUUUAUUAAGUCUGGUGUAAAAGGCAGUGGCUCAACCAUUGUAUGCAUUGGAAACUGGUAGACUUGAGUGCAGUAGAGGAGAGUGGAAUUCCAUGUGUAGCGGUGAAAUGCGUAGAUAUAUGGAGGAACACCGGUGGCGAAAGCGGCUCUCUGGACUGUCACUGACACUGAGGCUCGAAAGCGUGGGUAGCAAACAGG
rnacentral:rRNA from 1 species